UGGGGAAUAUUGCACAAUGGGCGCAAGCCUGAUGCAGCCAUGCCGCGUGUAUGAAGAAGGCCUUCGGGUUGUAAAGUACUUUCAGCGGGGAGGAAGGGAGUAAAGUUAAUACCUUUGCUCAUUGACGUUACCCGCAGAAGAAGCACCGGCUAACUCCGUGCCAGCAGCCGCGGUAAUACGGAGGGUGCAAGCGUUAAUCGGAAUUACUGGGCGUAAAGAGCACGCAGGCGGUUUGUUAAGUCAGAUGUGAAAUCCCCGGGCUCAACCUGGGAACUGCAUCUGAUACUGGCAAGCUUGAGUCUCGUAGAGGGGGGUAGAAUUCCAGGUGUAGCGGUGAAAUGCGUAGAGAUCUGGAGGAAUACCGGUGGCGAAGGCGGCCCCCUGGACGAAGACUGACGCUCAGGUGCGAAAGCGUGGGGAGCAAACAGG
rnacentral:rRNA from 1 species